GAAAGGUGCUAGAGAAUGGCCAUAUGUCGCUGUCCAUGAAAUCUCAAGGACUUCUGGGUGGAGGGCACAGGAGCCUGAACUUACGGGUUUGCCCCAGUCCACUGUCCUCCCAAAUCACAUCUCCAUGAUCCAUAGGCCCUGCCCAAUCUGACCUCACACCGUGGGAAUGCCUCCAGACUGAUCUAGAAUAGCCAGGUCUGGCUGGGUCGGCACAACCUGUUUGAGCCUGAAGACACAGGCCAGAGGGUCCCUGUCAGCCACAGCUUCCCACACCCGCUCUACAAUAUGAGCCUUCUGAAGCAUCGAAGCCUUAGACCAGAUGAAGACUCCAGCCAUGACCUCAUGCUGCUCCGCCUGUCAGAGCCUGCCAAGAUCACAGAUGCUGUGAAGGUCCUGGGCCUGCCCACCCAGGAGCCAGCACUGGGGACCACCUGCUACGCCUCAGGCUGGGGCAGCAUCGAACCAGAGGAGUGAGUCUUCAGUGCGUGAGCCUCCAUCUCCUGUCCAAUGACAUGUGUGCUAGAGCUUAC
rnacentral:sRNA from 1 species